AUGCAUUGUCACCUUUGCUCAUCCAUGGCGGAUUCGCGUCGUUUGGAUUCAAGUUUGAAGGGAGCAUAGAAAAGUUAAAAGCUGGAGGAAAAGGAGGAGGUGGAGCUAACAAACUCAUCUUGAUCAAUUUCUUUUCCUUUGGGAGAACAAUGGAAUCUGGAGGAAAAGGAGGAGGUGGAGCUAAUAAACUCAUCUUGAUCAAUUUCUUCUUUUCCUUUGGUUUUUUGAGGAGUAGUACUUCAGGAGAUCGAAGAAAUUAAACGGUGAUAUUCAUUUAUGGAAUGUGAGAGGAUUAUAUAAGACUAUAGGAUGGUGGAUAUGCUAGGAGAAGUCGAAAAUAAUAAAGAGUUGAUUCUCACGACAAGCUGUA
rnacentral:lncRNA from 1 species